GCGGAGUGCUGAUGAAACAUCCAAAGUUCAUUUAUUUCCUCUCUAUCUAAAAGUAAUUUCUUUCCUCUCUAUCCAAACCUGAAGAGAAAAAAACCCCCAAUUCGCAAAACCCUAAAUUAACAAAUUCUCAAUCUCAAAUUCACAGUUAGAGACUGAGAGAAGAAGAAUUAUCAAUGGAUUUCGACGAGUACGAAUACUUGGAGAAGACAGUGGAAGAGCUGGAAGACAAAGACUCGAAGAAGAAUGAAAGCAGCGACAAAACCGAACGGAGCUACAGAAAGCGCGAUGAGAUUGAAGAUGGCACCGAAGAGAAGAGGAGCAAAAGAAGGUCCAGCGGCGACGGCGAUGACGAGCGUGUCUCGAAGAAGGAUAGAGAUCGUGAUGAUGACCGUGACAAGGAGCGUCAUCGGAGUGGCAGAGAUAGAGAUAGGGAUAGGGACAGAGAUGGCGAGAGAAGCAGCAGAGAUAGGGAUAGGGAUAGGGAGAAGGAUAGGGACAGAGAGAAAGAUAGGAGAGAGAAGGAGAAAGAGAGGGAAAGGAGAGAGAGGGAAAGGGAGAAGGAAAGGGAGAGAGAAAGGUCUCGGAGGAGUAAGAGUCGUUCUGAGAGAGACAGGGAGAUUGAAAGAGAGGAGAGAGAGAGGUCUCGGAGAAGCAUAAGCCGUUCUGAACGAGACAGGGAGAGAGAACGGGAGGAGAGAGAUAGGUCUCGGAGGAGUAGAAGUCGUUCUGAGCGCGAUUUUGAAAUGAGAGAUAGCCGGAGAUUUAGGGAGAAGAAAGAAACUGUCGAGCCUGAGGCAGAUCCAGAAAGGGAUCAAAGAACUGUUUUUGCCUAUCAGAUGCCCUUAAAGGCAACAGAAAGGGAUGUUUAUGAAUUCUUCUCAAAAGCUGGCAAGGUGAGAGAUGUUCGUCUGAUCAUGGAUAGGAACUCAAGACGAUCUAAAGGAGUUGGGUAUAUUGAAUUUUAUGAUGCAAUGUCGGUGCCAAUGGCAAUUGCCCUCUCUGGCCAACUUCUUCUUGGACAACCUGUAAUGGUAAAACCUUCUGAGGCUGAAAAGAACCUAGUUCAAUCUAAUACUACUACCGGAGCUGCUGGUGUGGUAGGACCAUAUGGAGCCGUGGACAGAAAACUGUAUGUGGGGAACCUUCACUUCAAUAUGACUGAGAGCCAGUUGAGAGAGAUUUUUGAGCCAUUUGGUACUGUAGAGGUUGUGCAACUGCCCCUUGACCUGGAGACCGGACAUUGCAAGGGUUUUGGGUUUAUUCAAUUUGCCCAUAUAGAGCAUGCCAAGGCUGCUCAGAGUUUAAAUGGAAAAUUGGAAAUUGCUGGCAGAACUAUCAAGGUUUCAUCUGUAGCAGACCAUAUUGGAAGUCAAGACACAACAACAAAAUCUGCAGAUUUUGAUGAUGAUGAAGGUGGAUUGGCUUUAAAUGCCCAAUCAAGAGCAUUGCUUAUGCAGAAGCUGGAUCGCUCUGGAAUUACUGCAAGCAUUGGUUUACCCAUGAAUGGGUUGGCUCCUGCUCAGCCGGCUAUUAGUUUGCCUAUUGGUAAUACUGGAUUAAUACAUCCUGGAUUAAUACCUGCACCUGGACUAGCUCUACCAACUCAAAUUAUGCCUACCCAAGUGGCCGAACCUGUCGGAACCCCCAGCAACUGUUUGCUGUUGAAGAAUAUGUUUGAUCCAACCACUGAGACCGAACCAGAUUUUGAUCUAGACAUCAAAGAAGAUGUAGAAGAAGAGUGUUCUAAAUAUGGGCGGGUGAAGCAUAUCUAUGUUGACAAAAAUAGUGCAGGUUUUGUGUAUUUGAUGUUUGAAACGGUGGAAGCAGCAAGUGCUGCUCAGCGUGCAAUGCACAUGAGGUGGUUCGCACGCAAAAUGAUUUCAGCUAUAUACAUGGAAAAGUGAACUGGGUAUUGUUUGAUGACAUGAAACAGUGAGAUCAAUGCCCAUCAAAUUUGUAAACAACCUCAUGAGUAUGAAGCCAAGUUUAAAGGGGAACUUUGAAGAACUGCUUGCAGGCUGUGGCUCUUGUAAAGACGAGAAUCUGCUUAUUUUUCUCAUACUAGUUUCAGCGAUCAAGUUUUUGUUUAUGAAUUCUGGUUCAUGACUUGUAUCAUUAGAUUUAUGAUUACAGAAAUUCAACUGGUAAUAUUCAUGAUCACAUGAUUGACUAUUUUGUAUCUUAGUGUAUAUUUUGGAUUCACUUUUGGAGAGGUCAAAUUUGAUUCUAGGGGUGUAUAAUUGGUUUUUGGUA